UACGUAGGGUGCGAGCGUUAAUCGGAAUUACUGGGCGUAAAGCGUGCGCAGGCGGCGCGUUAAGACAGGUGUGAAAGCCCCGAGCUUAACUUGGGAAUUGCGCUUGUGACUGGCGUGCUGGAGUGUGGCAGAGGGAGGUGGAAUUCCACGUGUAGCAGUGAAAUGCGUACGAGAUGUGGAGGAACACCGAUGGCGAAGGCAGCCUCCUGGGCCAGCACUGACGCUCAUGCACGAACGCGUGGGGAGCAAACAGG
rnacentral:rRNA from 1 species